UAGGGAAUCUUCGGCAAUGGACGGAAGUCUGACCGAGCAACGCCGCGUGAGUGAAGAAGGUUUUCGGAUCGUAAAGCUCUGUUGUAAGAGAAGAACGAGUGUGAGAGUGGAAAGUUCACACUGUGACGGUAUCUUACCAGAAGGGGACGGCUAACUACGUGCCAGCAGCCGCGGUAAUACGUAGGUCCCGAGCGUUGUCCGGAUUUAUUGGGCGUAAAGCGAGCGCAGGCGGUUAGAUAAGUCUGAAGUUAAAGGCUGUGGCUUAACCAUAGUACGCUUUGGAAACUGUUUAACUUGAGUGCAAGAGGGGAGAGUGGAAUUCCAUGUGUAGCGGUGAAAUGCGUAGAUAUAUGGAGGAACACCGGUGGCGAAAGCGGCUCUCUGGCUUGUAACUGACGCUGAGGCUCGAAAGCGUGGGGAGCAAACAGGAUUAGAUACCCUGGUAGUCCACGCCGUAAACGAUGAGUGCUAGGUGUUAGACCCUUUCCGGGGUUUAGUGCCGUAGCUAACGCAUUAAGCACUCCGCCUGGGGAGUACGACCGCAAGGUUG
rnacentral:rRNA from 1 species